AGCUUUAUAUUCAAUAAAAUGAUUGUAGAAUGCAAUUCUAUAGGAGUGUAAAUGUUCAUCACUAAGGCUU
rnacentral:tRNA from 1 species